rnacentral:rRNA from 1 species
AUUGAACGCUGGCGGCAUGCCUUACACAUGCAAGUCGAACGGCAGCACGGGAGCAAUCCUGGUGGCGAGUGGCGAACGGGUGAGUAAUAUAUCGGAACGUGCCCAGUCGUGGGGGAUAACGUAGCGAAAGCUACGCUAAUACCGCAUACGAUCUACGGAUGAAAGCGGGGGAUCGCAAGACCUCGCGCGAUUGGAGCGGCCGAUAUCAGAUUAGGUAGUUGGUGGGGUAAAGGCUCACCAAGCCGACGAUCUGUAGCUGGUCUGAGAGGACGACCAGCCACACUGGGACUGAGACACGGCCCAGACUCCUACGGGAGGCAGCAGUGGGGAAUUUUGGACAAUGGGCGCAAGCCUGAUCCAGCAAUGCCGCGUGCAGGAUGAAGGCCUUCGGGUUGUAAACUGCUUUUGUACGGAACGAAACGGCGAGCUCUAAUACAGUUUGCUAAUGACGGUACCGUAAGAAUAAGCACCGGCUAACUACGUGCCAGCAGCCGCCGUAA